GAUGAACGCUGGCGGCGUGCCUAAUACAUGCAAGUCGAGCGAACGGACGAGAAGCUUGCUUCUCUGAUGUUAGCGGCGGACGGGUGAGGAACACGUGGAUAACCUACCUAUAAGACUGGGAUAAAUUCGGGAAACCGGAGCUAAGACCGGAUGAUAUUUUGAACCGCAUGGGUCAAAAGUGAAAGACGGUCUUGCUGUCACUAAUAGAUGGAUCCGCGCUGCAUUAGCUAGUUGGUAAGGUAACGGCUUACCAAGGCAACGAUGCAUAGCCGACCUGAGAGCGUCAUCGCACACCCUGGAACUGAGACUCGGUCCAGACUCCUACGCGAGGCCGCAGUCGAGACUCUUCCGCAAUGGACGAGAGCCUGACGGAGCAACGCCGCCUGAGUGAUGAAGGUCUUCGGAUCGUAAAACUCUGUUAUUAGGGAAGAACAUAUGUUUAAGUACCUGUGCACAUCUUGACGGUACCUAAUCAGAAAGCCCCGGCUAACUACGUG
rnacentral:rRNA from 1 species